rnacentral:piRNA from 1 species
UCUCACUGAACCUGGAGCUCACUGAUUAA